rnacentral:rRNA from 1 species
GUCUAUGGCCAUGCCACCCUGAACAAGCCCGAUCCCGUCUGAUCUCUGAAGCUAAGCAGGGUCAGGCUUGGUUAGUACUUGGAUGGGAGACCACCUAGGAAGACCAGGUGCUGUAGGCA